AUCCAGCUGUCGAGUCCCAGGGAGAACGAAACGCGCGUCCUGGAC
rfam:Schistosoma rodhaini strain Burundi genome assembly, scaffold: SROB_scaffold0000093